rnacentral:tRNA from 1 species
UCGCCAUUAGCUCAAUUGGAUAGAGCAUAGAGCUUCUACCUCUACGGUUUGGGGUUCGAUUCCUCGAUGGCGCG